UACACCAGUACACCGUCACGCCCCCGUCCUGUUGGAGAGGGUGUCGCUGUGCAAGGAAUCAGUGGAGAGAAAAACCCUAACCCUAACCCUAACCCUAACCCUAACCAGUACACCAGUACACCGUCACGCCCCCGUCCUGUUGGAGAGGGUGUCGCUGUGCAAGGAAUCAGUGGAGAGAAAAACCCUAACCCUAACCCUAACCCUAACCCUAACCAGUACACCAGUACACCGUCACGCCCCCGUCCUGUUGGAGAGGGUGUCGCUGUGCAAGGAAUCAGUGGAGAGAAAAACCCUAACCCUAACCCUAACCCUAACCCUAACCCUAACCCUAACCCUAACCCUAACCCUAACCCUAACCCUCACCCUAACCCUAACCCUAACCCUAACCCUAACCCUAAC
rnacentral:misc_RNA from 1 species